rnacentral:misc_RNA from 1 species
GUGAAUCAUCGAAUCUUUGAACGCACAUUGCGCCCUUCGGUAUUCCGUUGGGCAUGCCUGUUCGAGCGUCAUUAGAAACUUCAAGCUCAGCUUGGUGUUGGGUGCUUGUCCCCCCUAGCGGCGGACUCACCUCAAAUGCAUUGGCGGCCGGUAUGUUGGCUACAGCGCAGUACAACGCGUCUGGCGUCUUGAUAUACUGGUCCUCCAGAAGCCCCUUCUUUGACUUGACCUCGGAUCAGGUAGGGAUACCCGCUGAACUUAAGCAUAUCAAUAAGCGGAGGA